UAAGCCAUGCAUGUCUAAGCACAAGCCGAAUAUGGUGAAGCCGCGAAUGGCUCAUUACAACAGCCUUUGUUUAUUUGAUCUUGAAAUCCUACUUGGAUAACUGUGGCAAUUCUAGAGCUAAUACACGCGUUUAAACUCGUAACUGCCGUUGCGAGUGCAUUUAUUAGUACAAAACCAAUCGGGCUUCGGCCCGUAGUCUGGUGAAUUUGAAUAAAUGAGCCGAUCGCAUGGUCUCUGUACCGGCGACGUAUCUUUCAAGUGUCUGCCCUAUCAACUUUCGAUGGUAGUUUAUAUGACUACCAUGGUUAUAACGGGUAACGGAGAAUAAGGGUUCGACUCCGGAGAAGCAGCCUGAGAAACGGCUACUACAUCCAAGGAAGGCAGCAGGCAU
rnacentral:rRNA from 1 species